AUACGGGGGGGGCGAGCGUUGUCCGGAAUUAUUGGGCGUAAAGGGCGCGUAGGCGGAAUAGUAAGUCAGAAGUGAAAAUCAUGGGCUUAACUCAUGACCUGCUUUUGAUACUGCUAUUCUCGAGUGCGAGAGAGGAAAGCGGAAUUCCCGGUGUAGCGGUGAAAUGCGUAGAUAUCGGGAAGAACACCGGUAGCGAAGGCGGCUUUCUGGCUCGCAACUGACGCUGAGGCGCGAAAGCGUGGGGAGCAAACAGGAUUAGAAACCCCAGUAGUCC
rnacentral:rRNA from 1 species